UACGUAGGCACCAAGCGUUGUCCGGAUUUAUUGGGCGUAAAGAGCUCGUAGGCGGUCUGUCGCGUCUGCUGUGAAAGCUCGGGGCUUAACCCCGGGCCUGCAGUGGGUACGGGCAGACUAGAGUGCGGUAGGGGAGACUGGAAUUCCUGGUGUAGCGGUGAAAUGCGCAGAUAUCAGGAGGAACACCGGUGGCGAAGGCGGGUCUCUGGGCCGUAACUGACGCUGAGGAGCGAAAGCAUGGGGAGCGAACAGG
rnacentral:rRNA from 1 species